rnacentral:lncRNA from 1 species
AGUUCGAAUGUGCUGAGUCUGAGGUGCUAAUGAGACAGACAGGUGGAGGAGGUGAGUAGCCUGUUUGAAUAUGCACAUAUUAAUUUAAAGUAGAGGGCUUAGGUUGCAAUGAAGAAUUGGGUGUCAUCAGCCUCAGAGUGAUUGGAUGAAAUCACCUAGGGAAAGAUUAAACGGAGAGAAGAGCAAAGCACCUAGGACUGAUCAUAUCAUAAGGAACUUUGGGAUGAUAUGUUGAGUCUACAGUGUAAGCCAAGAAGGAGUGGCCAGUGAGGGUGAGCUCAGAACUGGGCACAUUCCUCAUUGAACACUCACCUCUCAUCGGGGAUCAACAUGUUCAGAUGUGCCAUACCCAGGAUGAUUCAUCGUGAUCAAAGAAAACAAUGUGAUUGUGAUCAAUUCUAUAGGUAGAACCUUGACAUUGAGAGCUGAGAUUUCACAUAUGUUAUUCUAAGUCUGUGUCCCAGCCUCUGUGGUCAGAUGAAUAUAAGACAUAUAGAGCAGAGCAAUGAAAUGUUUCUGAUUAACAAGAAUACAUCAUAGAGAUAUGAGAAAGGUGAAGUGAGCCUAGAAGAAUUCACUGGAUUUUGUAGAGUGGAGACAAGAAGGGAUACCUUUCUAUAUCAUGUUAGUGAAGGAUAACAGUAGGACAGCACUGGCCUAUCCUGGUGGGGCCAAUUGAAUGAAAAUGAACAUUCCCAAUUAGAGAAGAAAAGUAACCUCCCGGUGGCCUAGAUG